GUCUCCCCCUCUUUCCACGGCCCGCACAUAGUCAUCUCCCUCAUCAAGCAAGGAGUCCCACUAUUCCCAUCGUCGUAGCCCUGGAGCCCCAUUGCUGCCGCCGCCCUGGAGUCCCACUGCCCACAUGCCAGAUCGGGAACUCCCAGCACGCCACCAUCACGAUUCCCUCCUCGGAGCACCCUACUGGCCGCCGAAGGCCCUGCGAAGGACAACUGGUGGCCGGAGCUCCCGUGACGCCUCGAAAUCUGACCGCCGGAUGGUCUUCCCCGCGCGACGCCCUGACGAGGUGCACAACUCCCGCCCUCUGCCGCUCUUCCCAGGAGUGGAGCGAAUGUGAGGAGGAGGGUCCCUGCGACCAACUAGACGCUCGCUGCCGCGAUGUCUUGACAAGAAAGGUAAUCUUGACCCCUUUAGAAUGUCCUCUGGAUCAAAAAAAUUAUGGUGGGAAUGUAAACAUGAAAAUCCAUACGCCGUGUUCAGUUGUUAUUUCCGCUCUGCUUUGUCAAUUUGGUAAUUGCACAACUAUUUCGUUAAUAAUUCCAGUACAAUAUGUUCAGCGCAAGUACCUAUAUGCAAUAUGCAAUGAGGUUUUUUUUCCCUUUGUUGAGCGAUGGUAAAUGGUUUAAGAUGUUAGCUUGGAUGGUGGUGAGCGUGCUUUGAUACUCCUGGACAGAUCAAUCAGUGUCAUCCCAACAUUUUUCACUUCAGAUAUCCGCAUCAGUUCCAUGAGAACUAGAAAUAUGAUGAAUACAUCCAAUGGCACUAUUUUUUGUGUGUAAAUUCAUUUAGGUCUGAUGUGAAUCAAAUGCUACGAGGAGUUAAAUAGAUGCAUGGAAAAAGUGAAGAAGAGUUGCAAGAUUGGGUACUCCAAGAAAUGUCCUUAUGAAUUGGCUAUGGCGACAAUGACUCAAGGGAUGGACAUGGAUAUCAUGCCAAGUUGGAACUGUGGCCUGGUAUUUCUUAGAGAUGUACUCACUAAAUUGCUUGAUUGAAGAUUGAAUUUAUUUCGUUGUACUCCACUAUAGUUUUGUACCCUUUGCAUAAUUGCAUUUAUUUUAAAUAUUCGCAAAGAUAUAAUUUUUAGGUUGCAGCAUAUAGUAUCGGAUCUCAUGUCCAUCAUUUCCAUAUAUAAAUAGAGUUCUUAUGUAAAUGAAUCAAAUUCUUCGCAUUGAGCUGGCCCUUGUCUUUGCUGACACUUGCUCACAAGCGGUGGGAAGAACGGCACUUCAUCAGUAUGGAUGACGGCGGUCGCAGCUACGGCAUCACCAUCGGAUGAGGGAAGCAGGAAGCCAGAUGUUGCCGCAUGCCAGUAUUAAUUCCGUGGACGAUGCAGCUUCGUGCCAUGCUCCUUUCUGGUAGACUGAAAAUUUUCGGAAGCUGGUUGGGGCAGAUUUUUCAGUGUUGCAUGACUCCACCUGAGUUGGAGCUAUGGCAUAUAGAAAGCACCUUGUUACAAUUAUGAAGAGAAAGUGAAGGUAACCAGCAUGAAGAGAAAGUGAAGGUAACCAGCAUUGAUAAAAAUGUCAUAUUUUCUACCAUGAAGUUUUCCAUCACAUCAGAUGUAAGGAUUUGGCAUCUGCGGUCUGGAACUUGAUUAUGGUGCUUGAAGACCGAUAUCUGGAUAGAGAAUUAUCAGGCCGGAGGACAUAGAAGAUUACCAGCAAACUGUGCCCACACGUGCUGGAUUUUCCAGAAAAUUAUGUUUUGGACCAAAAGAUAGUACUAAGCAGAGUUGGAACAAUUCAAGUAGACACUUCGGAGUUUGGGAACCAUAGUGAUCUCGGUGCAAAAAGGACGGAUGGUGUAUGUUGUUCACAUCACCAAGCUCCAGAAAAUAUAUUUGGUAGCCGGCUGCUCUUCACAUCACCAAGCCACUGCACAACACUGGUCGGUUGAUCAUCGCCAUCAUCAAUUCGGUGCAGCACGACUUUCCUCUCCGGACGGUUUCUUGGGCCGGAGCACGCAGUUAGAGGUGAGCUAGAGCAGCCUGCAGCUAGAGGCUAGAGAGGGCUUCCCAAGUCGUAGCGCACUUCAGCUAGAGGCCGGCGAGGGCCUCUAGAGCCAGAGCACACUGAAGCUAGAGAUCGGCCAAGAAAUGUCCCUUGGCCGUGGCGCUGAUUGGCAUCAGGGAUGUGCACAUUCUAUCCCCAUCCUGCCGGACCAUUGCAAGGUUGCAGGGCCAUUACUAAGUUUCCUCAUCUGUUCUUAAUUAUGGUCGAACUUCUGGGUAAAUUAUGUUCCAUGCAAGUAUCAGUUUCGGAGCUCAGCUUGAGCAACUCUUGAUUUCUUAGGCUGCUUGCUUGAUGCCUGAUUGAUCAACUGGAACAAAGGUAUGCAAAGGUUGCAUAUACAAAAAUAAAAUUUGGAACUUGGAUGCUGGCAAUGCUGAAGCCAAUGAUUGGUGUACCACCUCGCGAACUGCCUUCGGUGUCCUCAUUGACAUUGGACAAGAUGCUGUUGGUUGGCAGCUUGGCUCUUAUAUAGAAAGAUGCAAUCACCACUCACCGCUGUCAUUGUGGCAAAAAUUCAUCUCAUUCGCUUGGCUCUUGUAUAUGCACGGGCAUUUGCGGUGUCUAUUGCAAGCAGGGGGUGCGGCGGCUACGGUGACGGUGGUGAUCUAGAGGGGUGGAAGUCGGCUCGGGCGUGGGUAGGCGGUGAGGAAAUCGGUGCGUCUGGCUGCCAGGCGGAGCCCACGCUCGUGUUCUGACGUGCCGUGACGCAUCGGCGCGCCCGAUUCGCGCCCUACGCGAAGAGGCCGGUACGGGGGUGUCACUGAUUCUAUUGGGUUCGAAAACUAGCCGACGUCUUUUGGUGUGCACCGGUGCGACCCAAAAACCACGCUAGCUCCCAAAUCGCUAUCGGGGCCGCUAUGGGGGGCGCCGGUGCAGAUGCUCUAAGGGUUGUGCUAUAUUUAUGAUACAAAUAUGAAUGUGUAUGAAUGCUUGGAUAUU